UAGGGGCUAUGACAGAGACUCUAACAGGAGCUAUGACAGAGGCCGUGACAGAGGCUGUAACAGGGGCUGUGACAGGGGCUGUGACAGGUAUUGUGUGACAAAGGCUGUGGCAGGUACUAUGACAGAUGCUGCCACAGUGCUGUGACAAAGGCUGAGACAGGGACGGUGAGAGAGCCCGGGACAGAAAUGUGACUAAGUCUGGAACCACAAUCAGAGUUGGGACAACAGCUCCCGGAGCCCAGGCCUACACUCCCACGGUUGACAGAGCAGUUGGCGGUGACAGCAGCAACACAGCAAACACAUGGGCCCAGCCAGGCCCAGGCACUUGUGGAACCGCCAACAGGCUGAAGCUGCCACAGGAGAGCGAAAGGGGGCAGAUGGCAGCAAUCUGGUGGAAGUUGGAAUGGGGGCCAGACUUGAGAUGUGUCUGCUGGAAUGCUGAUGAAAAUCAUGGAGGGCUGCAGUACCCCCUGGUGCCAGUCGCCAGCCUGCUGUUUCCUUUGGCCAAACAAGGCUGCUCUGCAGAGGUCACCCCUAGGCUAAUGAGGAAUCUUCCUGAGGUUUAAAACCAAUUAAGCAACAAACGGCUUCUGAUUAGUUAUUUCUCUUGAUAUGAAUUUUAAUGAACAGCCUCCUCUCCCCUCCUUACUUCUCAAACACCCCUCGGGGUCAGCCAGCUUUUGGUCUGCCUUGGAGAGCCUGCAGGGGGUGUCUGGGAAGGCUAGAGGGGAAGGGGAGAGGGGCUAAAGUGGGGUCUAAGCAGUUUUCCACUGCACAGCAAGCCCUGC